UUAAGGAGCAAUCAAUGCUUUUUCUUUUAAAAAGUGAGAGUUUCAAUUAAGUUUUAGAAAGUAAGGUUAUCUUUGAGAUGUAAAUAGUAUGUUAACAUUGUGCUGGACUCUAAAAAGCUAAGUACAUUAACUUGGAAUGUGCUGAGCUAGUGGUAAAUUGGUAUCCAGCCUGCAGUUGCCAGAGGAGAAUUUUUGUCUUGUCUUCACAUAGAAGAGAAAAUGCAAGGGAGUCUGGGUCAAUUAAUUGCCUACCGGAGCACUGCCCUGUCUAUUUCCAGCAGGGAAAACUGAAGAGGGCUGACUGGUCUACUCUGACAUUUCACCGGAUUGGACAAGGCUAGUAAGGUGAAAGAGAAGACGCCUGAAGAUUGCAGAGAGCUAGUGACAACAUCACUGAAAUGGUUGAGAUCCACAGUGUGUCAGGAGGCAUGCAAAAGAGGUGCACUGUUGUAAGUUUAUAGCUCAAAGAAUUUUUACAAAAUGAACACACCUGAACUGCUAUCACCAGAUUAAGAAGCCUUCCUGUGCCCCUUCAUAGGUGCUUUCACUCAACAAAGUCAUUCCCAACAAUUAAUACUACUGAGUCCUAAUGAAGAGGAUUAUAAAAUGUUCCCUUACUUGUGACCACUUCAAAUCAGAAGGUGCAGAAGAUUCAUCAGUGAUCAAGACAGUCAGAGUCCCUGUCAUCAGUGGACUUCAAGUAUAAUAAGAAAGACAAGACAAUGAAAAAUGUAGAGGGCAAAAUAUCUCCUUAGGAAACAGUGGACUAAGACUCUGUUAUUUUGAAUUUGAAUUCUGCGUGAUGGUAGACACAGAACCUGGAUUAGUGCUGUCAUACAAAAAAUCGGCCACAACAACACACAUAUGGGAAAAGAACAGCAUUGUCAGGAACAAAUGGACACUAAGAGAAAGAAGAAAACAGAGGCAAGAGGCUCCAGGCUUCGCUAAUUGCUAUCCCAAGACAAAGAAUAUCUCUCAAUACUAUUAAAUAUAGAUGUCUGGACUGAAUUGAGCUUACAUGACAACUGCAGUCAAGAUUCUGCAACUCAGAAUGGGCAAACCAGGUAAGCGGUGCCAUUUUUAGAACGUUGUUUUAAUAAGGUUUAUUCCUGUCUGGGUCGGCUGCAUUUUACAUUUGUAAUCAUCAGGCUGUGAGUGUGAAGAGUUAUUGCCAUGACAACCAGGACUGACUGACUUGCCUUUCAGAAAUGGUAACGAUUCAGCAUGUUUGUAGAUGAUACCUGUGGUUCUCAAUGACUUUCUAGAAGGUCAUAUGGUUUUGGCAGAUGUUCCCAGUGGUGUGGAAAGACUACUGGAUGAGAAAAAAUGUGAACUGUAUUCUAGUCCUCCCUCUCGUUGAACCAGGUGUAUAGCCUCAGGCAAAUCUCCGCCUAUUGGGGGCCUCAGUUUCUUCAUCCAUUUAAUAGGAAGCUAUAGCUAGUUUAUAUAGUCUUUAAGGUUGUUUACAGUUCCAAAUUUCUCUGAUUUCUUAGACUUAUAUAUUUAUGAGACUGUUGAGCAAGAUAGUCUAUCUACUCACUCCAUAAUCCUGUCUUCACUUUUAAACGUUUUGUUAAUUCUGUAUUUUUAAAUCUUACUUUCAGAACUGUUUUGAAUCACAAAGAAAAACCCUUUCUUAAUUUUAUAAUUUUUGAUCCAGCUUACUCUCCAGAUUUUUAUUUUUAAAAAAACCAAACAGCUCCAAACACUUGCAGAUUAAAAAUUAUCCAAGUAGAAAGAACAGGUCUAAAAAUGUGUUGAGCAAUUGCAGCUUGAUUGGGAUACAAGUGUAAUUUUUCAAGGUAAUAGAUUUGAAUGUCUCAACUCAUUUGAUACACAUGUGUACACUGGAUUUUUAAAAAAAUAUCGAAGCCUGCACUUCAACCAGUAGUUGAUUAUUUUGAUUAUUGUUCGCAAUAAAAACAUGAACUAACUGCUUGGCGACUGUGUUCUUUGUUCUUCUUGGCUGCGUAUAGUGGCUGGCAAUCCUUUUUAACCAUCAUAUAUAAUAGCUAUCUAACUCCUGAUUUUUGUGUAACAUAAAGCGAUGUUUCAUAAUGAAUCAUUUUGUCUGUUCGUGUUCAAGUGCCCUAUCUAUUCUAUCAUUUGAAAAGCUAGUUAUGAUAGUAUGGUUUCAAUUGUCAGACAUUCUCUUUAUUCGAAAAAAAUAGGUUGACCCACAUUUAGAUGUUUUCCUACUCAAAGGACUUUGAAAGAACUUUUAUAUAACACUUAGUCAUUGCCCUUUUCACAGUCCCUCUUCCGCUGCUUCUAAUUAGGCUCCUUGGUAGCUGGAAUCAUCAUUUCCCUGGGAUGAAGGCACAUGGUACCAACACGUUUGUUGUUUGAUUUGGAGGGUCAAAUAUGGACUUGCUUCUUUUGGCCCACCUUACUGUUGUGCUUUUUGCAGGCGGAAUUGACUUAGGUUUGUCUUUUCACUUUGGCCUUUCUUAUCUGUUCACGUUUUCAUCUUUAUUUCCUAGUCUUCUUCCUUUAUUCUCUGACAUUCACUUAAUCUAACCCCUUUUUUCAGGUCUUCCAAUGUUUCCCUUUCUCGUGCCUUAAGUGUUUCUAGACUUGCAUCUGAAUUUAUGUGCUUAUCUUGAUCUUUUCUCAGUUUAUAAUACUUAUAAGCUCAUGUCUUCAUAGCAAGGUGGGCUUCAGGGCACAGGACCUAUGCAGGUGCACGCUUAGAGGGACCCCACACUUGGUUUAGUGCUCUGCUCUUACCAUCUUAUUUUUUAAAAUACGUUUUGAACAAGAACCUCUGCCUGUUCAUUUUAUACUGGUCCCCACAAAUUAGGUAGCUGUUCCUGAUUGUAGUUAUUUUUUUCCCCUUCUAGUUGGGUAAGUGGUUUUUGUUUUAAUCUUGAAUUAUUUUUCAUUCCUCAUAACAUUUUUAAUUUAUUCCCUUUCCGUGGCACACUAUUCUGACUGCUAUUUUAAUGUAGUCAUAUUAGCUCCUUUUAUUUCUCACAUCCUUCAGGAACAUUUAGCUUUAUAGAAAAAAUUAUAUAUGGUCAACUUUUUAUUAGCCACCCUGACUAAGGAAGAAGAGAAUGAGAGAAUCAAUAAAGAUUACAGUUUGCAAAGGGAAUAAUUUUGGGAGCACACUGUAUGGUUUUUCCCUUUGUGAGACUUAUCUUUUUAUACUUGUUUGCUCAGGUUAAUUGGUUUGCACUUCCUGAAUUGACAAUAAUUGGUGGUUGGGGGAGCCUGCUGAGUGGCAGAGGUUAGCUAACCUGAGGUUAAAUAUCUCUACUAACAAAGGAGAUUGAUUGUUCUCAUAUUUUCCAUUUUUAGACAAAAGAAAUGAAUCAUUUUUUAGUUUUCAGUUUUGCUUGAGGAGAUUAGUAGGAUGUAAAGACUUUUCUAAUAAUAUUAAAACACCUUUUUUGGAUUUGACAAACCAAAUGUCCUAUCCUUAUCUUUUUAUCUGGUGGCAGUCUGAAUCAAUUUACCCUGCGAUCCUGUCUGCUGGGAAACAUUGAAAUAGUAAGGAAGUCUGAUGUGCCUCUAGGUUAAUCCAGCUGCCUGGGUGUCAGUUAUUAUUAUUAUUUCAUUAAAAACAUUUUAUAUCACUUAUUAGGUG